GGUGUUUCUCUUGCUGUCUACAAAUUUCGCAAAAAAUUCAUAUUCCACCGAAUGUCAAAGAACCCUUUAGAUGAUACAGAUGCCAUGGUAAAAUUUUUUAAUGAUGAUGCAGAAGAAGCAAAACCAGAAACAUACCUCACAGAUAUCCUAGAGGAUAAUAUUGAAGAAAAGGGGUUUGAGCAGGGG